AGCCAAGGUGCCGCGGCCCGGGUAGGAGGAAGAGGCCGCUUUGGCCGUGCGUUGUUCCUGCAGCCGUCGGGAAGCCAACGCGUUCUCGAAAGCUGAAGGCUCCAGCGACUCCCCUUACCAGCGUCAUGGCAAUCCCAGGUUGCAACAAAGACAGUGUUAGAGCAGGCUGUAAAAAAUGUGGUUACCCUAGUCACCUGACUUUUGAAUGCCGUAAUUUUCUCUGAGUAGAUCCCAAAAGGGACAUAGUUUUGGAUGUCAGCAGUACAAGUAGUGAAGAUACUAAUGAAGAGAAUGAAGAACUGAAUAAAUAGCAAGCAUUACAGGAAAAAAGAAUCCGAACCCAUGACCUUGGAGUUAUAAGGCUGCGCUCUAACCAACUGUGUUAACCAGCCAGUGCAACAAAAUUUUGGAAACUGAAAAGUGGGUUAGUAAUAACUGACUGCACGCUUGAAAAAGCUCAAUCCUUUAGCAGUUGUGAAACAAGGGCUGGGAUUUCCUACUUCACCAUCUUGCUCAUGUCACCCCCUCUAUGUUUUUCAGUGUUGACUCAGUACCUUUUAUUUUUAAACAAGCAAACAAAAGUACUCUAAAUGACAAAUAUAAUCACUUGUUGAUACAAAUUAGAAAAUUUGAUGACAAGACUUGAUAUGGAUAGGAACAAACAUUACUGUCUAAUCACACUGUAACAAUCUGGGACCUGUGCAGCCCUAGAAAGUUACGUCACCAGUGCUAUGUACAGGAAUAAAUUGAACAAUCAGUGCAUAGCAAGGAUAAGUUCUUGUUGACUUACUGCAUGUGUGUGUGGUAUCAUGCUUGCCGUCUGGUGACACUACAGUGCUUCAAGAAGAUUAAGAUUUUAUACUGUGUUUUGUACUUCCCGAAGCAACUUGCCUUUGUAAUUCUAAGUGAUUGUUUGAAAGAUGCAAACCAGCAAAACUUUCAAGAAGAAAUGAAGAGUAGCCCUGCAUUUAUUACACUUAAAUGUUUAGUUUAAAAUUUUUAAACAAAACUCCAUGCCCAUAGGGCUUCUCUCAUUAAUUACAUGAAACAUUUCAAAAAGAAAUGAUACCAUUUCUACACAAACUCUUUUUAAAAAUUGAAAAGAAUACUUUCUAACUCAUAUAACAUUAAUUAUCCUGAUAAAACCAGGUAAAGAUACUAUAAGAAAAAGAGACUCACAUAAAUAUAGACACAGAAAUUCUUAAGAAAAUUUUGACAAAUUCAACUAAACAAUAUAUAAAAAGGAUAAUGUGUCAUGACCAAGUGAGGUUUAUCCCAGUAACAAAACAUUUGUUUCUCAUUCAAAAGUCAAUCAGUAUAAUUCACUAUAUUUAAGAGACUGAAAAAGAAAUCCUAUAUGAUCAUCACAAUAUUUUUAAAAAAAUUAUUUGAGGAAGUCAGUCAUGUAUUUCUAAUAAAAAUUCCCAGCAAACUAGAAAUAGAAGAGAACUUCAUCAAUUCAAAGAAAGACAUCUAUAAAACCAAAAAGUUACAAUGUACUUAAUGGUAAAAGACUGAAUGUUUUCCAUAACAUAAGGAACAAGAUAAAGAUGUCUACUCCUACUACUUCUAUUAAUCAUUCUACUGGAACUUCUAUCCAGUGCAAUAAGGUAAGAAAAAGAAAUAAAAAGCAUUCAGAUUGAAAAGAAAAGAGUAAAAAGUCUUUAUUUGCAGAUGAAAUGAUUAGCUAUGUAAGAAUCCUAUGGAAUCUAACAAGAAAGUUUCUAGAACUGAUAUAUGAGUUUAGCACAGUUGCAAGAUACAGACAAGAUCAGUGGGCAGAAAUUAACUGUAUUUCUGUAUGCUGAUAAUGAACAAUCAGAAGUUUUGAAAGUAUUUCUUACAAUAACAUCAAAAAAUAUAAAAUACUAAGAAUAAAUCUGACAAAAGAUAUUCAAGACAGAAAUGUACAAAACAUUGUUGAGGAAAAUUUUCAAAAUGAAUAAAUGGAAAGAUAUACCAUACUCAUUCAGUGGAAGGCCUCAGUCUUUUUGAGAUGUCAGUUCUCCCCAAACUGAUCUAUAGAUUCAAAGCAAUCACAGUCAAAAUCCCAUCAGGCUAUUCUAGAAAUUGACAAGCCAAUUCUAAAGUUAUUGAAGAAAUGUAACAAACCUAGAAUAGUCCAAAUACUUUCAAAAAGAACAACAAAAUUGCAGAGCUAAUAUAACCUAUUUCAUGAUUUAUUGUAAAGCUACAAGUAAUCAAGACAGUGUGGUAUUUUUUUUUUCUUGAGUGGCUGGCCAAUAUAGAGAUUGAACCCUGGACCUUGGUUUUAUUAGCACCAUGCUCUAACCAACUCAGCUAACCAGCUGACAGUGUGGUAUUCAUGUAAAAAUAUAUCAGUGGAACACAGUAGUCCUAUACAUAUUACAUGUAUGAUCAACUGAUUUUUUUAAUUAAACUUUUUAUUUUGAGAUAAUUGUUGAUUCACAUGCAGCUACUGGAAAUAAUAUGGUCAUUCCUUGUGAACUUACCUAGUUUCCUCAGUGGUUACAUCUUCCAAAACUAUAGUACAAAUAAGACAAACAGGAUAUUGAUUUUGAUGCAGUGACAAUACAGAACACUUCCAUCACCACAGGGAUCACUCAUUUUGUCCUUUUUUACCUACAUCCACUUCCCUCUUGUCCUGACCACCUUCUUAACCAAAAAUUUGCUCACUAUUUCUAUAAUACUGUAAUUUCAAUAAUGUUUAUAAAUGGAGACAUACAGUAUGUAACCUUUUCAUAUUGGCUUUUUUAACUAACCAUACAUCCCUGGAGAUUCACUUAGGUUUUUGCACGUGUCAAUAGUUUGUUACUUUUUAUUGCUGGAUAAUACUCUAUGGCAUGGAUA